rnacentral:lncRNA from 1 species
UGGCUUUUUUUGGGGGUUUAGGUUUUUCUUCUUUUUUUUGGGUUAGGUUUUUUUUUGGGUUAAUGGGCUUUUGAAUUGGGUUUUAUAUUUGGGUUUUGUAAUGGGUUUGGGUAGAUGUAAAUGGGUCAUGGGUUAAGGGUUUUAGUGGGUUUAGAGGUUUGGUUGGGUUUUGAUAUAAUCGGGCCCGGGCAAUUUGGGCUUCUACAACGCCUGUGUCAUUGGGCCCUGUAACUCUCUAACUAUGAUGUCAGCACCAAAAUAAGGUCACACGGCCAUACCACAUGCCCGUGUGGCCAGACUGC